GAAGUUCUGUGAUGUGCGCAUUACCCAUUACAGUGUUGACCGAACAUUUUUAUUGAUAUCUUGGGAUCUGUCUUGUGUCAAAGUUGGUAACAAGCCUUUUCAUUUGGUAGUUCAAUAUUUAGACCAUGGAACCCACCUGCUAGACUUUGCGGGAUCAAUACUACCGGGUUUAUAACGGCAUCGACGGAAUUUCC
rnacentral:other from 1 species